UUUAAAAAGACAUAUAUUUAAGAAUGGAGGAAGUAACAAGCAACAAAACAUGUGAAAAUCCUGAGCGAAAAGUAACAAUACAUCUCUGGUUUCAACUAUCCUACACUUUUUUUGCCCAGGUUUCAUCAUCAAACUCCGAUAAAGGAAACCUUUGUUACGGGGAGAAAAUCAAUGGGAGGGAAGAAGGAUCCUAGGCUUGAGCGUGCAGCACACAUUGUACUGCCUUGACUGUCUCCAUUGUGCUUGUUGGUCGACCUGGUUGUGAGUCAUCUCGCUUGUGAACUGUGCGACUACUCUACCUCUGCUGGAGUGGCAUAAUAACAAUGAAGAUUCAGCGUCAUGUUUCUGUCGGCUGUAAUAACAAAAACACAAAUGAGUGAGACCAUGUGUGAAUACAAAUGCACAGGCCAAAAACUCUAGUUAAUACCAAGUGGAUGUAGUUGCCUGACUGGCUAUGUAAAACAUUCAAGGCUAAUUAGUGUGUGUUAGUAAGUGACUUAGAUUUAGUUGCUGUUAGGGGAUGUACAAGGAAUAAGCUAACACAUUUUUGGUCUACUCAUGAGCACGACCAAGGCUGCUUAUUGAACGUUAAAAAGCGAUUAAAUUGCUGUUAGGGAAUACAGAGAACAAAGCGAGGCAAUUUUGAUCUACUCCGCGGGAGCUCUUAGCCAUAUGCGCUGAUAAUACAUAAAUCAAAUAACUUUGAUUGCAUGGUAGAUAUAUGAUCUUAAGAUGAAAAAAAUUGCUAUGGACAUAGUACUUUGAGUAUAAUUAUAAAAAUUGCAAAAUGUGAAUUGUUCAAUCAGGAUAUGACAUAAGUAUUCUCACAAGAACAUGGAUUCUGAAAUGGGGACGCUAUGAAUGGAAAUGUACAAAUUGUCAUCUCGAGAAACUAUGUGUACUUAGGAUCUGCAAAGAAUGAAUGGUAAUGUACACGUCAAGAGGUAAAUCAUUAUUCAUCUGUACGAUACUUCAAAUCUGCAAACAAUGGAAACUAAACAUGAAUAUUAGCAAUUGUAGUAGCUUUCUAUCCUUGAUAGUGAGUGAUGGAGCUCCGGUAUUUGACAAUAAGAACAAAACAAAUCAUGUCGUCAGAGCAAAAGAGUACCAGUUCAUUUUAUCUUUUCCCCCAAAGCAAGUUCUAAUUCCUUUUGUCUAAAAAGUUUACUGAAAAAAGCAUGAGAACUUACAAAAUAGAUAAGCACCGAAAUCCAAAUUGUCAACUUUUAGUCGGAAUUUGUUUGCAACAAAAAAAAAUUAAACUUGAAAAUAUAUAAGCUACAUUAAGAAAGUGAAAAAUAAUGACAAUUUGUAUCGUUUAGGAUCUCAAACAUGAUCAAUUAUUUUGUUCAGGCCUCGGACAAUAGGCACAUUCUGAAUUUUGAUUUCAGCAAAUGAAAAUUGGGCACAAAUAACAUGAAUUCUGAAUUUUAAAGAUUACAAAGUUGGUCUGCCCCCGCGUCGCCCCUGUCUCGGGCGACUCGGGCGGCUCUUCAAACCCUAGCCGCCAGGGUCACCACCACCUCCCUCCCUUCCCUCCGCCGCCGUCGGAGGACGCCACUGGGCUAAGCCCGGGGGCCGGCGGUGGUGGCGGAGGCUCUCCUCCCUGGAUCGCGUCGGAGGGGGUGGGGCGGGACCUCCACGCGCGUGACGGCGCAGCGGCGAUCUGAUCCAUGGUGGCACGACGGCGUGCUCCGGGCGGAGGCCUUGGGCGGCGGCGCGGUUGCCUGGUGGCGAGCCGGCGGCGGCGGCGUGAAGAGGGCGUCGUGGAGGUCCGGGCUGGCCAGAUCAGGAUCCUGGGGCGGCGGCCUUGGAUUGCGGCGGCGGGUGAAGCUCGGGCUUCCCGCGGCGGCAUGGCGUGGUGCAGUCCAUAUCCAAGGCGGAUCUGCGUCGGCGGUCUCGUGGUUUUGCCACGGAUUGGUUCCGACCAGAGACGGUGAUGAGCGUGCGGGAUCCAUCUCGGCGGCUCUCGCGGUUUGGCGAGGUGGGGUGGGAGUCCUCCUCCCAGGCUCCAGUGGUGGCGCAUUCAGGCAGUGGCCGGUGUGCCAGGGCUCCUACGGUGGCACUGCUGUUGCGGUUGGUCGCCGGAUCUAGGCGGCUAGAUCUGGGGCUUUGAAGGCGGUCGAGGCAGUGCACAGGUUGUCGGGUGGAUUUCUUGGGACGGAUCCGAGUGAAAACUUGGUCUUCGGUCGUUGGCCGGAGCCGGUGAUGACGAUGCCCUUACCAUCGUUUCCUUGAUGAAGGCAUCAUCGAGGUACAAAUCCUAAACCCAUCCAAUACCUCCGGGGGAAACCCUAGAUCAGUUGAUCGGAUGACGGCGGCAUUCAUGUGUCGUUACCCCCUUGGGGGCGGCAUCUUGGAGAUGCACCCGGGCUCGAGGGACCAGCGGAUGGCUUCUUCGGUGGAGCGGUGUUUCUUUCUACAUAUUCAUGGCGGCAGCUCUUGGCGGCAUGGAGCAGCGGAGGCCUGGCGUCAGAUGUGUGGUGAUGGACACACGCAGGAGGUCGACGCUGUCUGGCGUCGUGGUGGCGUCGGCGGCAGCUAGACCGGGCAAGGUUGAUGCAACAGUACAACUCUGAAGAUGGAUUGGUGGCAAGUGGCUGCGGCGGCCUCAAUACCUGGCAGGCGUCCUGGUUGAGGAGCACGCCAGACUGGUGGGUGCCCAUACCCGGCAGGCGUCCUGGUUGGGACCUCAGGUCUUAGAUGUUAGGUUUGGCCGUUUGGCUGCGAGGUCUGUUUGGUAUUAGGCCUAGACUAUCAGCGCCCCUUCAUUAACUGGAUAGGAGUAGCAAUAGAUGUUGCUUAGAUGGUGGCUUUGGUCUUACUGUUGUAUGACUUUGUAAGGUGUUGUGUUAAUAAUUAAUAAAAUGGCUGUAUGCAUCGUCCAGAUGCAGAGGCCGGGGGUAUUCCUCCUUUUCUAAAAUAAAAUAAAAAAUCAGAUACUGCACAUACAUUAUGGGAUUUGUGUUUAUUUCAGCUGUGGUGCUUAACUUCCCAUCUAUCCUGAUUAUUGUCAUUAUGAUCUUUCAUAGGUAUACCAAAGGAAGUUAUUCUCUAUAAUAUAGCACUAGCUGAUUCGCAAAGGAGCCAUUUCUAUCUAUGUGUGGCAGGAAAAAUAUUUACCUAAAACAACAUCAUGUCUGGAUUCAUAACAGAGAUACUUGGGCAGAGAACAGGAAGAUGAACGGCCCAGCAAGGCUUUUACUGAAUGGGGAUGAGCAGCAACUUUAAAAAACAUAUAAAAUAAAAGGUUUAAAGCUUAAACUGAGUAUAUACCAUAGCAUAGAUAACCCGUGUUGCUGAAGAUAUGUUCAAAUAAGCAGCAAAUGAUUUUAUGUCAUCUUCGUACAUUCAUUUGUACACUGUUUGAACAUCUGAAGAACAGGCUUCAAUAUGUUCUGCAUACUGCAAGGCACAACAUAAAAAAGGUCAAAUGCUAGACAAUGUGAAGUCCAUCGUAAGGAUUUAUGUUAAAC
rnacentral:lncRNA from 1 species